GGCAAGGUGGCCGAGUGGUUAAGGCGCUAGAUUUAGGAUGCAAGUCCAUCUCUCUAGUGGGAAACCGCGCGAGUUCGAGUCUCGUCCUUGUCA